CAAUAGCGUAUAUUUAAGUUGUUGCAGUUAAAAAGCUCGUAGUUGAAUUUUUGCUUGCCGCCGAUGUCGGAACUUCCGUACGUUCGGCGGCGUGCAUCCUUGGGUGGAACCUGUGUGGCAUUAGGUUGUCGUGCAGGGGAUGCUCAUCGUUUACUGUGAAAAAAUUAGAGUGUUCAAAGCAGGCUUACGCCGUUGAAUAUAUUAGCAUGGAAUAAUAAGAUAGGACCUUGGUACUAUUUUGUUGGUUUGCGCACCGAGGUAAUGAUUAACAGGGACAGUUGGGGGUAUUCGUAUUCCAUUGUCAGAGGUGAAAUUCUUGGAUUUCUGGAAGACGAACUACUGCGAAAGCAUUUACCAAGGAUGUUUUCAUUA
rnacentral:rRNA from 1 species